rnacentral:lncRNA from 1 species
AUAAGUCUUACAUAACCAAAUUAUAAUUACUAUCUAAAUAGUUCAAGAUUCAAAAUAACAUAACCCACACAAGAAUCCUGCCUGUGACAUAUGGAAGCAUUGACAUAAUCUAAAUUUUGAGCAAAUGUUCAAUUACAUAAUUACUUAGCCCUUGGAAAGAAUAAGGGCUUACCAAAAUGACUAAGAUCUACUGAGGGGCAGGUGGAAUGGAACCUGGAAUAACUUUUGUAUCUGAAAAACAUGGGAAUAUAAUAGGGUGAGUUUUGCAACUCAGUGAGCAAACAUUACAUUUAUAACCCACACGAGACAAUACAGAGUUUACCUUAAAAUUAUAUUUCUUUUCAGAGAUGAGAAAUUCAUAUAAAUUAAUUAUGCAAAGAAAUAGAUAAGUAGUUAAGCGGAUGAACUGAAAUGGGAGUUCUCAUUCCAGAAGUCAAAUCAAAUUAAAUAUUACACACCUAGGGCCGCUACACCUCUAAGGGUAGCCAUUUCCUCUAGUGUGCCUGAAUGAUGUCCAAUAACUCUACAACUCUAGAAAUAUGACAAUAAUGAUAUUUGCGAGCUACUAAUGUUAUCAAUUAACAUAAUCUUACUCACUUUGAUAAAAGCCCCAAAUUUCCUAAUCCUAAUAACCCUAAUUCGAAUUUUGCUAUAUCCACAUGUAUAGAGAUGACAAAAAUUGGAAAUAUAGCUAAUUAUUGAGUCAAAGAGUUACCUUGAAGUCUCAAUAAUAAAUGAAACUCAAAAGUUGAAUGCU